CUACAGAACUACAAGAAAAUAUUUAUUAAAAUUUAUUGCGAAACCGAAUUUGUAAAUUUAUUACAAAGGCACAGCGCCAAACGGAUCCGAAUAAGGCACACGCAAAGAACACUAAAGAUGUCGGCUCGUGAAUUAUGGGUAGUGGUGCAAUGGCUGGCGUCAAUUAUUCCAACGAUUCUGAGACUCUCUCCGAAUCUCUCGAAUUCCAAUAAAUCCACUUGCGCACGGAUAUUCCAACCUUUCGCCAGAACAGACCGCGAGAUUUCGUCAACAUGAUCCACGGAUUUCUCAAAUUUUCUUCCGAUUGUCAUUUACAAUUCAUUUUUUAACUGAUA